AGUGUGCAAUUUGUUCUUUAGAGGAUGUGACUGCAAUAAAGCCUGGAAAGGUGAAAGUCUGUGGAUAUGCAGCAUCAGGAGGUGGCCGUGGAAUUGAGAGAGUAGAUGCGUCUGUUGAUGGCGGCAAAACCUGGGUGGAAGCAUCCAAACAGCAGAAGACUGGAGUCCCUUAUAUAGCAGAUGACAUGAGCAGUGACAAAUGGGCAUGGGUGCUGUAUGAAGUCACAGUUGAUGUGCCACACAGCACAGAGAUUGUUGCAAAAGCAGUGG
rnacentral:misc_RNA from 1 species